rnacentral:rRNA from 1 species
AGAGUUUGAUCCUGGCUCAGGAUGAACGCUAGCUACAGGCUUAACACAUGCAAGUCGAGGGGAAACGACAUCGAAAGCUUGCUUUUGAUGGGCGUCGACCGGCGCACGGGUGAGUAACGCGUAUCCAACCUGCCCAUCACUUGGGGAUAACCUUGCGAAAGUAAGACUAAUACCCAAUGAUAUCUCUAGAAGACAUCUGAAAGAGAUUAAAGAUUUAUCGGUGAUGGAUGGGGAUGCGUCUGAUUAGCUUGUUGGGCGGGGUAACGGCCCACCAAGGCUACGAUCAGUAGGGGUUCUGAGAGGAACGGCCCCCACAUUGGAACUGAGACCACGGUCCAAACUCCGUACGGGAGGCA